GGAGGGUUGUCCGAGCGGCCGAUGGACCUGGUCUUGAAACCAGUGGGCAGCAAUGUCCCGUGGGUUCGAAUCCCACACCCUCCG
rnacentral:tRNA from 1 species